UUGGAAUCCGCUUUAACCACCUCUAAGGCUGGAUUUCUCCUCAGCCAGCAGACUUAGUCUUCCACCACCAUCCACAAUCGAAAACUUUUGAUUUUUUUUUGUAUGGAUCUUUCUCUCUUUUUUUAUGGAUGGUACAGAGGAGCCCGAAUUCAAAAAAGAUGGAAGACGAAAUUUUUUUUUUUAAAUGAAGAAAAUGGUAAAUGAGAAAGAUGAAAUGAAAAGAGAUACCGGAAGAGUGGCUCUGAUACCACUUUGAUACGCCUUAAAAGGAUCACUCGACCGGAUUUGGAAAAAGAUAUGAACUCCAAGAGGAGAUCUGAUGGAAUGAGGGGUCACACAAAGGUUGCAUAGUGCCCUUUUAUAUUCCCGAACCAGAUUGUUGCCAGAUGUGACUCACCGAUCCAACAAAGAGGCGAUCUUGAACCGUUGCUUGAUAUGACUCACAAGACCAACGGACAAGGACGUUUGCUUGGAGCUAACCACACCAAGAAAACAAGAAAAGUUAUAAUCGAAGAACAAAGAGUAAACACUCAAAAAGUUGAAAGAAAAAUUGAAUGAUUUUAUUAGGGGAAAUCGCAUUUUAAACCACGAAGGUGUAAAAAGGUAGCACUUUAAACCUCAGUGCUCAAAAACUCACACUUCAAACCCUCAAACCAAUUAUAUUAACACAUUAAACCUUGAAACUAACUGACUUCUUUACCAAGCAAAAAUGUGACCGGUACUGUUCAUAAAUUAAAAAUCAAAAAUAAAUUAAUAAAUUUUUUAAUUAAUAAAUAAUAAAAAUAUUUUUUAAAAUAAAAAAUAAUUUAAAAAUCCGAAAUAAAUGCAAAAAACUCAAAAAAUAAAAAAAUAAAAUAAAAAAUUUAACAAUAAAUGAAUAAAAUUUAAAUUUAUUCACAAAUUAGAAAUCAAAAAUAAAUUAAUAAAUUUUUAAAUUAACUAACAAAUUAGAAAAAAACUCCUAAAUAAAUUCAAAAAUAAAAAUAGAUUAAAUUAAUAAAUUAAAUUAAAAUUUAAUAAUAAAUUCAAAAAAAUAAAAAAAUUAAGAAAUCAAAAUAAGUAAAUAAAUUCAACCAAUGCUAGUGAAAACCAUGAAAAUGUAAGAAUAUAACACAUUGGUGGUGAUUUCCGAUGUAUCAUGUUUAAUGGUGAUGAGUUUGAAGGAUGAUAUAUCAAAAUCCAUCAACAUCAAGGGUCAUAUUUCAAAAAUAGUUACUAUUAAUAUAUCGGAAAAUUGUCACAUAUAAAAAAUAUUUUGAAAUUUUUAGUUGUGUAUGUUAAAUUUAGGGAUUUAUUUACUUAUUUCGAUUUUUUAAUUUUUGAAUUAUAUUUAAGUUUAUUUUAUUAUUUUUUAGUUUUAAAAUUUAUUUUAAAUUUUGUUUAUUUAUUUUAAAUUUUAUUUUUUAAGUAUUGAAUUAUUUAAUUAUAUUGAUAAAUUUAGAUUUUUAUUCAUUUUAAAUUUAUUUUAAUAUAUUUUUAAAUUUCAAAUUUUAUUUAUUUAAUUUUCUAAGUUUUAUCACUUUUUCUUUUAUUUCUGAUUUUUAAAUUAAUUUGUUUUUUUUAUUAUUUUAAAUAAUUUUGUUAUUUAUUAACUAAAAAAAACAAGUGACACGUUAUACCUUUUACACAUGGAUGAACAGUACCGGUCACAAUUUUACUUGGUAAAAAAGUCAGUUAGUUUCAAGGUUUAAUGUGUUAAUAUAAUUGGUUUGAGGGUUUGAAGUGUGAGUUUUUGAGCACUGAGGUUUAAAGUGCUACCUUUUUACACUUUGAUGGUUUAAAAUGCGAUUUUCCC
rnacentral:lncRNA from 1 species